CAAUAGCGUAUAUUAAUGUUGUUGCAGUUAAAAAGCUCGUAGUUGGAUUCCUGGCUUGGGGUAACCGGUCCGUCUAGCAAUAGAUGCGCACUGUGUGGCCUCGGCCAUCCUUGGGGAGAGCGGUUCUGGCAUUCAGUUGUCGGGGCCGGGAUCCCUAACGUUUACUGUGAAAAAUCAGAGUGUUCAACGCAGGCUUACGCCUUGAAUACAUUAGCAUGGAAUAAUGAGAUAGGACCUUGGCGGUCUAUUUUGUUGGUUUGCACGCCGAGGUAAUGAUUAACAGGGACGGUUGGGGUUCUUCGUAUUCAAUUGUCAGAGGUGAAAUUCUUGGAUUUAUGAAAGACGAACUUCUGCGAAAGCAUUUGCCAAGGAUGUUUUCAUUAAUCAAGAACGAAAGUUGGAGGCUCGAAGACGAUUAGAUACCAU
rnacentral:rRNA from 1 species